GCGGGCAGCUGGACGGCCGCUGCCGGAAGCGCGCAAGCGGGACCGGGAGAGGAAAGUCCGAACUCCGCAGGGCAGUGUGCCGGAUAACGUCCGGGAUCCGGGCUUCAAGGCCCGGAGACGGCCAGUGCCACAGAGAAAAUACCGCCAAGCCGGUGCGCAAGCAACGGAAGGUAAGGGUGAAAAGGUGCGGUAAGAGCGCACCGCUUCUGCGGCAACGCAGAGGGCAGGGUAAACCCCACACGGAGCAAGACCAAAUAGGGAGGGAACAACAGCCCGGCUCCACAGGCUGUUGUGCGUGCCGGCCCGGCGCGCCAACGGGAGCUCCUGCUUGUGCUCGCAAGAGCCACGCAGGCGGAAACCUCCGGGUAGGUUGCUUGAGCGUGUCAGUAAUGGCACGCCUAGAGGAAUGGCCGUCUCGGACGCAAGUCCAGACAGAAUUCGGCUUACAGGCUGCUCGCCUGC
rnacentral:RNase_P_RNA from 1 species